AUUAAUUGUAAUUCAGAAUAUUUUUGUUGCAUUGCUAAGUAGUUGGUUUUGCUCACUUAACAUUUUCUUUUCUUUCCUUCCCUGGCCCUCCCUCUGCCCUUGGUUUAGCCUUCUGUUGAAUCAGCAAGCCCAGGAGGGUCUGCGACAUCAGAUGACCAAGAAUUUGACCCAACAGCUGACAUGCUGAUUCAUGAUUUUGAUGAUGAACGAACAUUAGAAGAAGAAGAAA